GCUUGUCUCAAAGAUUAAGCCAUGCACGUCUGAGAAUAAAGAGUUUUCUCUGAAUCUGCGAAUGGCUCAUUAUAUCAGUUAUAGUUUAUUUGAUAGUCCUUUACUACUUGGAUAACCGUAGUAAUUCUAGAGCUAAUACAUGCGAAAAGUCCUGACUUCUUCGUGAGGGAGGGAUGUAUUUAUUAGAUACAAUCAAACGCACCAACAUAAAACCUUGGUGAUUCAUAAUAACUGUUCGGAUCGUAUGGCUUUUUGCCGACGACAGAUCAUUCAAAUUUCUGCCCUAUCAGCUUUCGACGGUACUGUAGUGGACUACCGUGGCAUUAACGGGUGACGGAGAAUUAGGGUUCGAUUCCGGAGAGGGAGCCUGAGAAAUGGCUACCACAUCCAAGGAAGGCAGCAGG
rnacentral:rRNA from 1 species